GCCCUCACCGGCUCAUAGGCCACCACCAUCCAUUCGGCUUUCAAUCUAACCAUUUCCCUUUGACUUUAGAUCGGGAUGUAAGAAGAAGGUGGGUUGGGAAUGACUUAAUUCUGUCAUGCACUUAGCAGUUUUUAAGAAACAGAAUGAUCGGAUUUGUCGUAGGAUGACGUGGACGAAGGUUAGCCAUAUCUGUAUUUGCUUGGUGAUGGGAUAUGUUGCGUGGCAUCUUCCGCUGUCCAUCAAUUGGCUCCAUUUUUUUUAUAUGUAUUGUAAGAUGUAACCCUUUUUUUUAUCAUUAGUUAUGAUUAUAUUUUUAAUAUCUCCAGUUCAGCAUAGCUUCGGCUCACCUCUUCAUCCAGCCGAGCCCGGUAUAUGAUCCAUUAUUCAUAUUUGAGUUUGAUUAUUUUUAUGACAUGGGUAUUUAUUUAUUAUAUUUAAAUGUUAUUUGUACAAUCAGGAAAUCAAA